rnacentral:lncRNA from 1 species
AGUUUCCUCGCGAAGGCAAAGUAAUAAUGUGUGCAACCCAAGAGGGGACUUGACACUAUUUAUCAAACAAAGCUUAGUGGAGUCAAACUCAUCUCAUAGCUCUAGCAGCAUGCGUCAUGCACAACCAAACUGCAUCUUGCAGUCAAGUAGCUACAGUAGCUUCUGAUUUCCCUGCUCGGACUUUAGCAUCCACGCCAAGAAAAUAUACUUAACAGGUCAACAAUUUUUGGGGUAUACAUCAUGUUCAUCCUACGUGGAUGCGGUCAUAGGUACUGCUCAUUUGUUAGACUCAAGUCUGGUCAGCAACUACCACAUGUAUUCCAUUGUGUUCGCUGCAAAAAUAGAAAUAGCAUGAAUUCUUAAAAGGCAAAAUUGCAAGCUGUGCAUUACCUGUAAAGUCGACUAUCAAGUAGAACAAGGACCAAGUACAAAGACAGAGAUAAUGUAUAGGUUCAGCUUCUCAAUCGAAUUCACUCCAUACAGAGAGAUGUGCUCCUGUAGCUAACAUUCAUUCUACAUAAGGCCCCAUUUAGUAUAUCUAAUCAAAUGGCCAGAGCUAAUGAACUCGACACCUACUCAAAUUCUGCUCCACCACCUACUCAAAUUCCACUCCACCUGCUCCCAUUUAUUCCUCUCCUCUGUCCAUAAUUACAAUCUUCUCUCUUAUGUUCCUGACAUGAACAAUAUACUACAUAAAUAUUUGGUGUAUCAUAAAAUGGACUACAUCUGCUUGUAGUCUCACAUGUUUCAAUUUUUUUUACAAUAUGCUAAUGCAGCCCUACAUGAUAAAUUGCAUUCUUGUACUACUUCUCUAUCCCCAACUUCUAACUCGUCUUUGUUAUGUUCAGAUAAAUGAUUUCAUGACGACAUCCUAAUCUAGAGUACAUAUUUUGUUGUAAUACGUAAAGCUGAUAAGAAUAGAGAUUACCCUGAAACCAAUUGAUGUUUGACCUAAACUGAAGCAAAAUCUUGAAAAAAGAAAUCAAGCAUCAACAACACAGUAGUAGUUGAUCAAGAAUUCUAUUGACAAAUAAAGUGUUCAUUGUACCCUUAUGUACAAGGUUUUACCUGAUUUGUAGGUAUUUUAGAUGUCCCAAUCUGACUGAGGGGUGGAUUUCGGUCACCUAAGCUUUGUGCAAUAUCUCCCUCACCAGCGUGAAACAACAGUCACCACCUGCACGGAAUAGGAAUGGAAAGAUAUUAAUGUGGGUGGAAGAAGGGAUAGUACAGGAAAGGGGCAAAACAAAGACAGAGGCCAAC